rnacentral:sRNA from 1 species
GCUGGGCGUGGUGGUGCCCGCCUAUAAUCCCAGUGGCUCGGGAGGCUGAGGCAGGAGGAUCACGAGUUCAAAGCCAGCCUCAGCAAAAGUGAGGCAUUAAGCAACUCAGUGAGACCCUGUCUCUA